GUCUGCAUAAACUUUGUUAGCUAUUAAUUUCAAAAAAGUCCUCCUUGCACCUCAGAGCAGGAUUUUAUUUAGCGCCUCAGAGAAUUUCUUUCCAUACUGCAGACCCUCAAAGGAUUCCUCUUGGUCAGGGUGGAAGAGGCCUGCGUGUGUUCAGCUGCUGAGUUCAGUUCAAUUUAAUAAAUAUUUAUGGAACAUCUACUAACAUCUUCUUAGCCCUGAAAGGCAGGGCAGGGCUGAAACAAGUAGGAAAGGUUGUGAACUUUGGAGCCAGGCUGCCUGAGGGUUGAAUUCCAGCUGACACUUCCAUAUGGGUCCUUGGAGAGCCUCUCGUCACCUCUCUGAAUCUCUGUUUGUCACCUGGAAAAUGGAGAUAACCCCAUUCAUCUCCCAGGGUAAGGUAAUAAAAAGAUAGAAAUCUAGUGAGUGGUGGGUAGGCGCUCAGUGAGGCCUUGCCGCCUUCUCUGUAGCAUCAGCCUCUGGAGGAGGGGGAAGGGAGAUGCCUCCUCCUCAGCUGUUUCUCCUCCCUGAGGCCCUCUGUCUACUCCUAAAGGCUUGUCCAUCCAUUUUGGAAAGAAUGUCAGCCGGUUAAACCAGUGCUUCUGAAAUGUUCUCAUGUCAAUUUCUCCCAUGCUCCUGGGCGGCUCAUUUCCUCCACACACACCCUCCUCCACCAAAAUACCUCCAAGGCCUCCCCAUCAUUACGCCCUCCACCCUCCCUCCAAAUCCAUUCCCAAGGAGGAGAGAAGAGCUUUCCUAUUCUUUUGAGAGAGCACACAGUGGAAGUGGCUUUGCUUUGUUGUCUCCACUUCAGAAAAGAUCAAACUGCAGGCUCCAUGAAGUGUCAGUCCUCCAAAGGAGCUUCAGGUCAGAGGGAGGAGGGGUGAGGCCAGGCAGGGUAGGCUGAGGCUGUCCCAGAGGGACCAGUCCAGGCAGAACCAACACAGCCUUCCAAGAUGCCCUCGCAGGGGCCCACAUCACCCUGGAUCUAGCCUGAAAGAUGCCCCCUAGAAUGUUCCCUGGCAGAUAUGGCUGUCCUGUCUGAGAGAACCACGAUAAAGGAGUCCACACAGGAUCCUGUCCUUUUCUAAAUGAGGAUUCUUGUCUCCCAGGUUCCCAGGGAGGACAGCGGAUGCAAGGGAGCCCUUGAAUAGGCACCGCAGAGGCCAACACACUUUAAAUUAAGCUUCCGAUGCUUAGAAGGGGCCACAGCUUCCCACAAAUCCCCUGGUGCAUGCAGCUUUGAGGCAGUGUUCAGUCCGUCUGUUCUUUUAGAAGUGCGCCUUGGAAGCCAGGAGUUAUUUGUUUCCGAAAGCCUUAUAUCUCUUGACCCCUGAGCACCAUGCUUUGUGAACAAUAGAUGCUCAACAAAUAUUUGCUGAACUGAACUCACUGAAAUGCAGCUUAAAUCAUAUUCCAGAAAGAACAUGAAGUUCUUUGGAAGAGACUUUCAAAGAAAAUCAACAACCUGAAUUGAUUUAACAUAUUUUGGUACUGUUACCUGGCCAUUUUUGCAAAUGCAAAUUGUUAACUCUGCAAAGAUAGCCAAGUGGCUUCCAG
rnacentral:lncRNA from 10 species